UACGUAGGGUGCGAGCGUUGUCCGGAAUUAUUGGGCGUAAAGAGCUCGUAGGCGGUGUGUCGCGUCGGCCGUGAAAACCUGCAGCUUAACUGUGGGCUUGCGGUCGAUACGGGCAUCACUGGAGUUCGGCAGGGGAGACUGGAAUUCCUGGUGUAGCGGUGAAAUGCGCAGAUAUCAGGAGGAACCCCGGUGGCGAAGGCGGUUCUCUGGGCCGAUACUGACGCUGAGGAGCGAAAGCGUGGGGAGCGAACAGG
rnacentral:rRNA from 1 species